ensembl:snoRNA
CUGCAUCCACUGAUAGACCUUGAACAAUUGGCUGUUGUUCUUUUGGUUUGCACUAGGAUGCAAAAGAAAGAAAUCCCUGCGCUUUCUGUCUGUCUUUGUGGCGGCCCAGAUUGAAUUGGGGAAUACAUCU